rnacentral:rRNA from 1 species
UAACGAAGGGGGCUAGCGUUGCUCGGAAUCACUGGGCGGUAAAGGGUGCGUAGGCGGGUCUUUAAGUCAGGGGUGAAAUCCUGGAGCUCAACUCCAGAACUGCCUUUGAUACUGAAGAUCUUGAGUUCGGAGAGGUGAGUGGAAUGCGAGUGUAGAGGUGAAAUCGAUUAGAUAUUCGCAAGAACACCAGUGGCGAAGGCGGCCACCUGGGACCGGAUACUGACCGCU